rnacentral:rRNA from 1 species
UACGAAGGGGGCUAGCGUUGUUCGGAAUUACUGGGCGUAAAGGGCGCGUAGGCGGUGUGUCAAGUCAGGCGUGAAAGCCCCGGGCUCAACCUGGGAACCGCGCUUGAGACUGGCACGCUAGAGUUCGGGAGAGGAUGGUGGAAUUCCCAGUGUAGAGGUGAAAUUCGUAGAUAUCGGGAGGAAUACCAGUGGCGAAGGCGGCGACCUGGGCCAAUACUGACGCUGAGGUGCGAAAGCGUGGGGAGCAAACAGG